GAUGAAGAACGCAGCGAAAUGCGAUAAGUAAUGUGAAUUGCAGAACUCAGUGAAUCAUCGAAUCUUUGAACGCACAUUGCGCCCCCUGGCAUUCCGGGGGGCAUGCCUGUUCGAGCGUCAUUACAACCCUCAAGCUCUGCUUGGUAUUGGGCUCUGCUGGGACCGGCAGGCCUUAAAAUCAGUGGCGGCGCCACUCGGCUUCAAGCGUAGUAAUUCUUCUCGCUUCGGAGACCCGGGUGCGUGCUAGCCAGCAACCCCCAACUUUCUUAGGUUGACCUCGGAUCAGGUAGGGAUACCCGCUGAACUUAAGCAUAUCAAUAAGCGGAGGA
rnacentral:misc_RNA from 1 species